CCAGCCUCCAACCUGUGGCUGAUCAUCUCAUGCGUUGUGGGCAUUGCUGUCCUGGUAUCUGGGAUUGUUGGAUUUGCUGUAUAUUUCAAAAGUAAGCAAAGUUCCAACAGUUCUGGGACAGGGACUGCUGUGGCCAUCUAGCAACUGCAAAACAGCAUAACUGGCUGAUCUGCCAUGGAAGAGAAGAAGGGGCGAGUGCAUCCAUUCAAAUAGAGGAGUUCUUCGGUGUUUUCCGCUGGCUUGUCACCUGUACAGUUUCUGAUAUUUGUCUUUUUUUGCAGGGAUAUGGGAUUGAGGUGAUUUGCCUGUUGGU